UGCAAGUCGAACGGUGAACACGGAGCUUGCUCUGUGGGAUCAGUGGCGAACGGGUGAGUAACACGUGAGCAACCUGCCCCUGACUCUGGGAUAAGCGCUGGAAACGGCGUCUAAUACUGGAUAUGUGACGUGAUCGCAUGGUCUGCGUCUGGAAAGAAUUUCGGUUGGGGAUGGGCUCGCGGCCUAUCAGCUUGUUGGUGAGGUAAUGGCUCACCAAGGCGUCGACGGGUAGCCGGCCUGAGAGGGUGACCGGCCACACUGGGACUGAGACACGGCCCAGACUCCUACGGGAGGCAGCAGUGGGGAAUAUUGCACAAUGGGCGCAAGCCUGAUGCAGCAACGCCGCGUGAGGGAUGACGGCCUUCGGGUUGUAAACCUCUUUUAGCAGGGAAGAAGCGAAAGUGACGGUACCUGCAGAAAAAGCGCCGGCUAACUACGUGCCAGCAGCCGCGGUAAUACGUAGGGCGCAAGCGUUAUCCGGAAUUAUUGGGCGUAAAGAGCUCGUAGGCGGUUUGUCGCGUCUGCUGUGAAAUCCGGAGGCUCAACCUCCGGCCUGCAGUGGGUACGGGCAGACUAGAGUGCGGUAGGGGAGAUUGGAAUUCCUGGUGUAGCGGUGGAAUGCGCAGAUAUCAGGAGGAACACCGAUGGCGAAGGCAGAUCUCUGGGCCGUAACUGACGCUGAGGAGCGAAAGGGUGGGGAGCAAACAGGCUUAGAUACCCUGGUAGUCCACCCCGUAAACGUUGGGAACUAGUUGUGGGGUCCAUUCCACGGAUUCCGUGACGCAGCUAACGCAUUAAGUUCCCCGCCUGGGGAGUACGGCCGCAAGGCUAAAACUCAAAGGAAUUGACGGGGACCCGCACAAGCGGCGGAGCAUGCGGAUUAAUUCGAUGCAACGCGAAGAACCUUACCAAGGCUUGACAUAUACGAGAACGGGCCAGAAAUGGUCAACUCUUUGGACACUCGUAAACAGUGGUGCAUGG
rnacentral:rRNA from 1 species